GGUAAAAUUAUUUCAAGGGUAGAAUAAUGGUCUGUGGCUCUAUUGGUUCCAGUUCGAAUCUGGAAUUUUACC
rnacentral:tRNA from 1 species